rnacentral:rRNA from 1 species
AUCGAACGCUGGCGGCGUGCCUAGCACAUGCAAGUCGAACGGGAAAAGGGAAACCGGAGUAAAGUGGCGUACGGGUGAGUAGCGCGUAGGUUAUCUACCUCAGAGUCUGGAAUAACCUGCCUAAAGACGGGCGAGUACUUGAUAGAUCGGGGGAACUCGUAAGAGAGUUUUUCGGUCAGAGGAGCCCGCAUGGGCUUUCGUUCUGGGGUGUUCCCGCGUCUCAUUAGCUAGUUGGUAAGGUAACGGCUUACCAAGGCGAAGAUGAGUAGCUGGUCUGAGAGGAUGAUCAAGCACACUGGGAAUGAAACACGGUCCAGGACUCUACGGGAGGCAGCAGGGGGGAAUCUUGCGCAAAGGACGAAAGUCUGAAGCAGCCACGCCGCGUGAGGGAAGAAGGGCCUCGGGUUGGAAAGGUCUGUCGGAUGGGAAGAAAAUCUUCAUAGUGAAUAGCUAGGAGGACUGACGGUACCAACAAAGGAAGCACCGGCUAACUCCGUG